rnacentral:rRNA from 1 species
UGGGGAAUAUUGCACAAUGGAGGGAACUCUGAUGCAGCGACGCCGCGUGAACGAAGAAGGCUUUCGAGUCGUAAAGUUCUUUUAUAUGGGAAGAUAAUGACGGUACCAUAAGAAAAAGCCCCGGCUAACUACGUGCCAGCAGCCGCGGUAAUACGUAGGGGGCUAGCGUUGUCCGGAAUCACUGGGCGUAAAGGGUUCGCAGGCGGAAAUGCAAGUCAGGUGUAAAAGGCAGUAGCUUAACUACUGUAAGCAUUUGAAACUGCAUAUCUUGAGAAGAGUAGAGGUAAGUGGAAUGGUUAGUGUAGCGGUGAAGUGCGUAGAUAUUAAAAAGAAUACCGGUGGCGAAGGCGACUUACUGGACUUAAACUGACGCUAAGACACGAAAGCGUGGGGAGCAAACAGG